ACACCUCAACUCUUGUGGUUUCCCACAAUGAGCUUGGACUGUGGAGGUUUUGUUGGCCCUGUGGUCAGCUCCUCUCAAAUCAAUCAGCUUACCGGUGUUUGGUGGCGUUACGGGUGUGAUAAUUAUCUGCGCUCGUGGUCGCCUCCAAAUGACCUCCAGUGAUGGAGGUCCGCUGGAGCUUAUAAAUGUCUCUCCCCAGCGAAGACAGCCUUUGAAC
rnacentral:misc_RNA from 1 species